AGAGUUUGAUCCUGGCUCAGAUUGAACGCUGGCGGCAUGCCUUACACAUGCAAGUCGAACGGUAACAGGUCUUCGGAUGCUGACGAGUGGCGAACGGGUGAGUAAUACAUCGGAACGUGCCCGAUCGUGGGGGAUAACGAAGCGAAAGCUUUGCUAAUACCGCAUACGAUCUACGGAUGAAAGCAGGGGACCGCAAGGCCUUGCGCGAACGGAGCGGCCGAUGGCAGAUUAGGUAGUUGGUGGGGUAAAAGCUUACCAAGCCGACGAUCUGUAGCUGGUCUGAGAGGACGACCAGCCACACUGGGACUGAGACACGGCCCAGACUCCUACGGGAGGCAGCAGUGGGGAAUUUUGGACAAUGGGCGAAAGCCUGAUCCAGCCAUGCCGCGUGCAGGAUGAAGGCCUUCGGGUUGUAAACUGCUUUUGUACGGAACGAAAAGACUCUGGUUAAUACCUGGGGUCCAUGACGGUACCGUAAGAAUAAGCACCGGCUAACUACGUGCCAGCAGCCGCGGUAAUACGUAGGGUGCAAGCGUUAAUCGGAAUUACUGGGCGUAAAGCGUGCGCAGGCGGUUAUAUAAGACAGAUGUGAAAUCCCCGGGCUCAACCUGGGAACUGCAUUUGUGACUGUAUAGCUAGAGUACGGCAGAGGGGAUGGAAUUCCGCGUGUAGCAGUGAAAUGCGUAGAUAUGCGGAGGAACACCGAUGGCGAA
rnacentral:rRNA from 1 species